rnacentral:lncRNA from 1 species
AAUGCACAGUAGUCUGGGCUAGAAUGUGCAUUUUGUUGUCACUUACAGUAUGCAUUAUGCUAAAGUUUUCUGGUGACAUGCACGUUUGCUUGCGCUUGCAGGAACACUGGUGCAUCCCGGGAACUAGACUGAACCACUGAAGACAGCAGAGGUAUCCUGCUCCCUGGCCUUCCUGGCCCAUUGUCCUAUGCCUUGACAGCUGGGACCAUGACUUCAGUGGAUUAAGUUCAGAGCCAAGUGCAGUCUUCCACCAAAAGACACAAAAGAGAAGAAAGUCUUCUGUUUCCUAUUCUCAAGAUAAAGAAAGUGCCAGCUGCUAAGGGGAGAGGAUCUUCUUCAAAGCAAGCUAAAGAGACUAAGGCUCUGGACUCUCAGGAUUCUUUUCUUCACUCUCCCUCUGUGGCUCUGAAUCUCAGCGGAGGAACACUGUUUCCUGGCUCUGUUUCUCUCUAGCCCCUCACAGUGUUGCAACUGCUAGUUACAGAAUUGCGCUCAGAGGGGAACAUAAUAAUUAUCAGUAGCUUACAGGGAACCAAUUGGCCAGAUAUUUUUCUUCUAACUUAAGAAAAUAUGUAUAGUUUUUAAUGCCCAGAGAUGACUACUCAGGAGGUUAUUCGUGGUGCAAGGUGCAAAUCCUAUUUAAUGCUCAGUUCAAGGAUCACCAAACAGUCUUAGUCAUGUUCACUCAUGUGCUUUUAAAGUGCUUUUAAAGUGUUCUUAAAGGUUGUGCUCUUUCUACUUGCCUUGAAUACAGCAUGAUCUUCCAUAAUUAACUCAGUACAAAAGAUAAAGGUACUUGAAAAUUUUGUAAAUGUUAUUGACUAUGAUAUGGUAAAGUUAUUGAUCCACCUUCUUAUUUAUUAACAAAUUUCAAUGUUAUAACUGCAGUAGAUUUAUUUCAAAUAAUAACAUGCGUGAAUCAGGGUGACAUUCUGAGAAUUUUACUACAGGUUUUUUAAAACAUGGUACUAUCACCAGAGUAAAGCUGAAUAGAGAGUUUUAAAUUGUUACCAUAUUCUUUUCACCAAUUUUUGCUUUUUUAUGAUAAAAAACUUCUAUGAGGCCUAAUAUCUGCUAUGAUAAAAGCAUCAAUGCAAACAAAUGAAGGUACAAUUUUGAGACUUUCUUUGUUUAAAAAAAAUGUAGACACAUUGAUGUGCUUUGCCUUCCUACAAAGGUGUUUGUCAGAUAUUAUCACAUAAUUAUUUUGUAUUACAUAAGGUUUCAAUACAUAAGAACUCAUCAUGUGAAGGACCAAUCAGUGGAUUUUCAAAGAGCGAAUGUCUAAUGAUUAUUUCUUAGUUGUUUUAUUCUGUAUGUUAGAUGUCCUGGAAGAGGGGGAAGCUUGUAUGUGUGAGCAUUAUGUUUCUAAGGAGAGUUUAAAAUUCCUAAGGAACUUCCAGGUAUCACUGACAAUGAGACAUUCCUGGUCAGUAAGUGCCAAAGCUGCCCACACCAAAGCUUUCCCACAUUUCUUUUAACUUAGCAUGUUGAAGAGGAAUAUUUCAAGUAAGUGCUGCCUGAAUGUUGGCAGGGCAGAGCCAGCAGUAAACAGGGAGGUGUGAUAAAGAUGAGAAAGCAGUGGUUCUUUUUUUUUUUUUUAAAGAGAGAGAGAGAGG